rnacentral:misc_RNA from 1 species
GAUGAAGAACGUAGCGAAAUGCGAUAAGUAAUGUGAAUUGCAGAAUUCAGUGAAUCAUCGAAUCUUUGAACGCACAUUUCGCCCCUUGGUAUUCCGGGGGGCAUGCCUGUUCGAGCGUCAUUUCAACCCUCAAGCUCUGCUUGGUAUUGGGCACCGUCCUUUGCGGGCGCGCCUCAAAGACCUCGGCGGUGGCGUCUUGCCUCAAGCGUAGUAGAAUACACCUCGCUUCGGAGCGUAAGGCGUCGCCCGCCGGACGAACCUUCUGAACUUUUCUCAAGGUUGACCUCGGAUCAGGUAGGGAUACCCGCUGAACUUAAGCAUAUCAAUAAGCGGAGGA